rnacentral:tRNA from 7 species
ACUUGUCUAACUCAGUUGGUAAAAUACAAGGCUCUUAACCUUGUGGUCACGGGUUCGAGCCCCAUAGUUGGUA